UACUUGGUGCGUGAAAUGGUAGACAUGCGAGACUCAAAAUCUCAUGCUAAAGAGCGUGGAGGUUCGAGUCCUCUUCGAGGCAUAA
rnacentral:tRNA from 1 species